rnacentral:rRNA from 1 species
CUACGGGUGGCACCAGUAAGGAAUAUUGCACAAUGGGGGAAACCCUGAUGCAGCAACGCCGCGUGGACGAAGAAGGCCUUCGGGUCGUAAAGUCCUUUUCUGAGGGAAGAGGAAGGACGGUACCUCAGGAAUAAGUCUCGGCUAACUACGUGCCAGCAGCCGCGGUAAAACGUAGGAGGCGAGCGUUAUCCGGAUUCACUGGGCGUAAAGGGCAAGUAGGCGGUUGUUUAAGUUAGGUGUGACAUCUCUCGGCUUAACUGGGAGGGAGCGCUUAAAACUAGGCAACUAGAGGGCGGAAGAAGGGGGUAGAACGCCAAAUGUAGCGGUGGAAUGCUCAGAUAUUUGGAAGAAUACCAGUGGCGAAGGCGACCCCCCGGUCCGUGCCUGACGCUGAGAGGCGAAAGCUAGGGUAGCGAACGGGAUUAGAUACCCGUGUAGUC